rnacentral:sRNA from 1 species
UCUUAUCUCUAUUAGGUGAGGCUCCUGAUCGGAGAGACGCUACUGCCCAAAAAUGUCGAGAGACACCAAUGGGUCAGCAGGAAAGAUCGGAACGAAGGUCUUUUCUAACGUAGCUGGCUUAGCCUAUGCCGUUCAGUGCCAAAGCUCAAUGAGGGAGAUAAGC